rnacentral:rRNA from 1 species
UACAGGCAGGGCAAGUGUUGUUCGGAUUCACUGGGCGUAAAGGGUGUGUAGGCUGUAUGAUAAGUAAGGCGUUAAAUUCUCGAGCUCAACUCGAGGUCGCGCUUUAUACUGUCAUACUAGAGUUUAGGUGAAGGGGUAAGAAUUUCUAGAGUAGCGGUGACAUGCGUAGAUCCUAGAAGGAAUACCAAAGGCGAAGGCAAGCCCCUAGUCUAAUACUGACGCUGAGGCACGAAAGCGUGGGGAGCAAACGGG